rnacentral:rRNA from 1 species
GUUAUAUGGUCAAGCGAAUAAGCGCACACGGUGGAUGCCUUGGCGGUCAGAGGCGAUGAAGGACGUGGCAGCCUGCGAAAAGUAUCGGGGAGCUGGCAACAAGCUUUGAUCCGGUAAUGUCCGAAUGGGGAAACCCACCCGCUUGCGGGUAUCCUGCAGUGAAUACAUAGCUGCUGGAAGCGAACCUGGUGAACUGAAAUAUCUAAGUAACCAGAGGAAAAGAAAUCAACCGAGAUUCCGUAAGUAGCGACGAGCGAACGCGGACUAGCCCUUAAGCUGAUUUGGUUCUAGGAAAAUGCUCUGGAAAGAGCAGCCAUAGAAGGUGAUAGCCCUGUAUCUGAAAGGGCCAUUUCAGUGAAGACGAGUAGGGCGGGGCACGUGAAACCCUGUCUGAACAUGGGGGGACCAUCCUCCAAGGCUAAAUACUACUGACCGACCGAUAGUGAACCAGUACCGUGAGGGAAAGGCGAAAAGAACCCCGGAGAGGGGAGUGAAAUAGAUCCUGAAACCGUGUGCGUACAAGCAGUAGGAGCUCCGCAAGGAGUGACUGCGUACCUUUUGUAUAAUGGGUCAGCGACUUACUGUUCGUGGCAAGCUUAACCGUAUAGGGGAGGCGAAGGGAAACCGAGUCUGAUAAGGGCGCAUAGUCGCGGGCAGUAGACCCGAAACCGGGUGAUCUAGUCAUGGCCAGGGUGAAGGUGCCGUAACAGGUACUGGAGGCCCGAACCCACGUCUGUUGCAAAAGACGGGGAUGAGCUGUGAUUAGGAGUGAAAAGCUAAUCGAACCCGGAGAUAGCUGGUUCUCCUCGAAAGCUAUUUAGGUAGCGCCUCAUAUGUAUCCUCUCGGGGGUAGAGCACUGUUAUGGCUAGGGGGUCAUCGCGACUUACCAAACCAUUGCAAACUCCGAAUACCGAGACGGACUGUAUGGGAGACACACGGCGGGUGCUAACGUCCGUCGUGAAAAGGGAAACAACCCAGACCCACAGCUAAGGUCCCAAAUUUUGUGCUAAGUGGAAAACCAUGUGGAAAGGCACAGACAGCCAGGAGGUUGGCUUAGAAGCAGCCACCCUUUAAAGAAAGCGUAAUAGCUCACUGGUCGAGUCGGUCUGCGGGGAAGAUUUAACGGGGCUAAGCACAAAACCGAAGCUUGGGGUGCAUAACUUUGUUAUGCGCGGUAGAGGAGCGUUCCGUAAGCCGUUGAAGGUGGAUUGAGAAGUCUGCUGGAGGUAUCGGAAGUGCGAAUGCUGACAUGAGUAACGAUAAUGCGGGUGAAAAACCCGCACGCCGAAAGCCCAAGGUUUCCUUGCGCAACGUUAAUCGGCGCAGGGUGAGUCGGCCCCUAAGGCGAGGACGAAAGUCGUAGUCGAUGGAAAGCAGGUUAAUAUUCCUGCACCUCGCGUAAGUGCGAUGGAGGGACGGAGAAGGUUAGGUGUACCAGGCGUUGGUUGUCCUGGGGAAAGGCGGUAGGUUUGGAUCUUUGGCAAAUCCGGGAUCCUUUAAGACCGAGCACCGAGACGAGCCUUUAUGGCGAAGUCACUGAUACCACGCUUCCAGGAAAAGCUCCUAAGCUUCAGCUUACGCAGACCGUACCGUAAACCGACACAGGUGGGUAGGAUGAGAAUUCUCAGGCGCUUGAGAGAACUCGGGUGAAGGAACUAGGCAACAUGGCACCGUAACUUCGGGAGAAGGUGCACCCUUUUUGGUGGCUCGUGCGAGCUAUAGCUGAAGAGGGUCGCAGUAACCAGGCCGCUGCGACUGUUUAUCAAAAACACAGCACUCUGCAAACACGAAAGUGGACGUAUAGGGUGUGACGCCUGCCCGGUGCUGGAAGGUUAAUUGAUGGGGUCAGCCGCAAGGCGAAGCUCUUGAUCGAAGCCCCAGUAAACGGCGGCCGUAACUAUAACGGUCCUAAGGUAGCGAAAUUCCUUGUCGGGUAAGUUCCGACCUGCACGAAUGGCGUAACGACAGCGGCGCUGUCUCCACCCGAGACUCAGUGAAAUUGAAAUCGCUGUGAAGAUGCAGCGUUCCCGUGGCAAGACGGAAAGACCCCGUGAACCUUUACUAUAGCUUUACACUGAACGUUGAGUUCGUCUGUGUAGGAUAGGUGGGAGGCUAUGAAACUGUGGCGCUAGCUGCAGUGGAGCCAUCCUUGAAAUACCACCCUGUCGUGCUUGACGUUCUAACCUGGGCCCAUUAUCUGGGUCGGGGACCGUGUAUGGUGGGUAGUUUGACUGGGGCGGUCUCCUCCUAAAGAGUAACGGAGGAGCUCGAAGGUACGCUCAGCGCGGUCGGACAUCGCGCACUGUGUGCAAAGGCAUAAGCGUGCUUGACUGCAAGAUCGACGGAUCAAGCAGGUAGGAAACUAGGACUUAGUGAUCCGGUGGUUCUGUAUGGAAGGGCCAUCGCUCAACGGAUAAAAGGUACUCCGGGGAUAACAGGCUGAUACCGCCCAAGAGUUCAUAUCGACGGCGGUGUUUGGCACCUCGAUGUCGGCUCAUCACAUCCUGGGGCUGUAGUCGGUCCCAAGGGUAUGGCUGUUCGCCAUUUAAAGUGGUACGCGAGCUGGGUUCAGAACGUCGUGAGACAGUUCGGUCCCUAUCUGCCAUGGGCGUUGGAGAUUUGAGAGGGGCUGCUCCUAGUACGAGAGGACCGGAGUGGACGAACCUCUGGUGUUCCGGUUGUCACGCCAGUGGCAUUGCCGGGUAGCUAUGUUCGGAAGCGAUAACCGCUGAAAGCAUCUAAGCGGGAAGCGCGCCUCAAGAUGAGAUCUCCCGGGGCACAAGCCCCCUGAAGGAACCAUAUAGACUAUGUGGUUGAUAGGUCAGGUGUGUAAGUACAGCAAUGUAUUGAGCUAACUGAUACUAAUGAUCCGUGUGGCUUGACCAUAUAACCU